rnacentral:rRNA from 1 species
GACGAACGCUGGCGGCGUGCUUAACACAUGCAAGUCGAACGGAAAGGCCCUGCUUUUGUGGGGUGCUCGAGUGGCGAACGGGUGAGUAACACGUGAGUAACCUGCCCUUGACUUUGGGAUAACUUCAGGAAACUGGGGCUAAUACCGGAUAGGAGCUCCUGCUGCAUGGUGGGGGUUGGAAAGUUCCGGCGGUUGGGGAUGGACUCGCGGCUUAUCAGCUUGUUGGUGGGGUAGUGGCUUACCAAGGCUUUGACGGGUAGCCGGCCUGAGAGGGUGACCGGCCACAUUGGGACUGAGAUACGGCCCAGACUCCUACGGGAGGCAGCAGUGGGGAAUAUUGCACAAUGGGCGGAAGCCUGAUGCAGCAACGCCGCGUGCGGGAUGACGGCCUUCGGGUUGUAAACCGCUUUCGCCUGUGACGAAGCGUGAGUGACGGUAAUGGGUAAAGAAGCACCGGCUAACUACGUGCCAGCAGCCGCGGUGAUACGUAGGGUGCGAGCGUUGUCCGGAUUUAUUGGGCGUAAAGGGCUCGUAGGUGGUUGAUCGCGUCGGAAGUGUAAUCUUGGGGCUUAACCCUGAGCGUGCUUUCGAUACGGGUUGACUUGAGGAAGGUAGGGGAGAAUGGAAUUCCUGGUGGAGCGGUGGAGUGCGCAGAUAUCAGGAGGAACACCAGUGGCGAAGGCGGUUCUCUGGGCCUUUCCUGACGCUGAGGAGCGAAAGCGUGGGGAGCGAACAGGCUUAGAUACCCUGGUAGUCCACGCUGUAAACGGUGGGUACUAGGUGUGGGGUCCAUUCCACGGGUUCCGUGCCGUAGCUAACGCUUUAAGUACCCCGCCUGGGGAGUACGGCCGCAAGGCUAAAACUCAAAGGAAUUGACGGGGCCCCGCACAAGCGGCGGAGCAUGCGGAUUAAUUCGAUGCAACGCGUAGAACCUUACCUGGGUUUGACAUGGAUCGGGAGUGCUCAGAGAUGGGUGUGCCUCUUUUGGGGUCGGUUCACAGGUGGUGCAUGCCUGUCGUCAGCUCGUGUCGUGAGAUGUUGGGUUAAGUCCCGCAACGAGCGCAACCCUUGUUCACUGUUGCCAGCACGUUAUGGUGGGGACUCAGUGGAGACCGCCGGGGUCAACUCGGAGAAAGGUGGGGAUGACGUCAAGUCCUCAUGCCCCUUAUGUCCAGGGCUUCACGCAUGCUACAAUGGCUGGUACAGAGAGUGGCGAGCCUGUGAGGGUGAGCGAAUCUCGGAAAGCCGGUCUCAGUUCGGAUUGGGGUCUGCAACUCGACCUCAUGAAGUCGGAGUCGCUAGUAAUCGCAGAUCAGCAACGCUGCGGUGAAUACGUUCCCGGGGCU